rnacentral:rRNA from 1 species
UUUAAUUCGAUGAUACGCGAGACUUACUGGGUUAAUGGGAAGUGACAGCUUUAGAAAUAGAGCCUUUCUUCGGACACUUUUCAAGGUGCUGCAUGGUUGUCGUCAGCUCGUGCCGUGAGGUGUCGGGUUAAGUCCCAUAACGAGCGCAACCCCUAUUGAUAGUUACCAGCACGUAAUGGUGGGGACUCUAUCGAGACUGCCGGUGUAAACCGUGAGGAAGGUGGGGAUGACGUCAAAUCAGCACGGCCCUUACAUCCAGGGCUACACACGUGUUACAAUGGCCGGUACAAAGGGCAGCUACUCCGCGAGGAGAUGCGAAUCUUAAAAACCGGUCUCAGUUCGGAUCGAAGUCUGCAACCCGACUUCGUGAAGCUGGAUUCGCUAGUAAUCGUAUAUCAGCCAUGAUACGGUGAAUACGUUCCCGGGCCUU